rnacentral:tRNA from 1 species
UGGCAUAUAACUUAGUGGUAAAGUAACGAACUUUUAAUUCGUGAACGACAGUUCGAGCCUGUCUAUGCCAA